GACGUCCUAGCUACAUUGUUAGCCAGACUCCAGCCUUCACCGUUCCCCGUAUGGGCUUCUCCUCUGGCCGGUUCCGUGUGUCCGCCGACUUCUCGGAGUGCAGCUAGUCGCUGAGCACGGGCCUUAUGACUGACCACAUCUGAGCGGUAGGUCACGUUAACUGUUUUUAAACUAAUAUGUAAACUUGCGUGGGUUUAAUUGUAUGUUCUUUGUGUAGCAGAUGUCGGGCGUAACAGGGAACGGCAACAUCAAGGCGUCUUGGUCCCAGUUCCGACGACCGCUGCUGUUUUGUCUUGGUUUGUUUGUUUAGUUCUGUUUUGUGUUUGUGUUGGUUUCAUUCCGUUUGUGAGUCGGCUGUGUUUAGCCACCACGAAGUCAGCCCUCAUUGAUUAACGGAAGUGACGACAGGUGUGCUGCUGUUUGCUCACGAGUGACUACGAAUUCAGUUCGGUUAUGGAGGCUAAUUCCUUAGCUUGUUGCACUGCGUGUCAUGAUUUGUCACCAUAAGCCUGCGUGAGUGAUUGUGAUGAUUACACUGUUUGCUGUGACAACUGAGUGCUGUGCAUUGUAGUGCUGUGUAUUCACGAGUGUCUCAUUCCCGGAAUAGCCACCAUACUGACUUUAGCGAACUCACUCUGGAGAGUACUACUGCUGUUUAGCGAAUCCACACUGGAGAACCAUACUGACUUUAGCGAACUCACUCUGGAGAGUACUACUGCUGUUUAGCGAAUCCACACUGGAGAAUAAUACUGACUUGAGCGAACCCACACUGGAGAGAACUAACUCCUUAUGUUUUAAUGUGAAUAAAUAAGAGUUUAUUUUUGGA